GUCUACGGCCAUGCCACCCUGAACAAGCCUGAUCCUGUCUGAUCUCGGAAGCUACGCAGGGUUAGGCCUGGUUAGUACUUGGAUGGGAGACCACCUAGGAAGAUCAGGUGCUGUAGGUC
rnacentral:rRNA from 1 species